AUCAAUGGUGGGCUGGAUGGGGGAGCCGAAAGGCUCGCUGGGUCCUUGUUAGCCGGUAGUCUCAACCCUGUUCAGUUCACCGCCAAU
rnacentral:antisense_RNA from 21 species